UACGGAGGGUGCAAGCGUUAUCCGGAAUCACUGGGUUUAAAGGGUGCGUAGGCGGUUGAAUAAGUCAGAGGUGAAAUCUGGUCGCUUAACGAUCAAAUUGCCUUUGAAACUGUUUAACUUGAAUCAGGUUGAGGUUGGCGGAAUGUGACAUGUAGCGGUGAAAUGCAUAGAUAUGUCAUAGAACACCGAAUGCGAAGGCAGCUGGCUAGACCUGCAUUGACGCUGAGGCACGAAAGCGUGGGGAGCGAACAGG
rnacentral:rRNA from 1 species